rfam:Toxocara canis scaffold1194, whole genome shotgun sequence.
GCACGGAUGGCCGAGUGGUCUAAGGCGCCAGACUUAAGCGAAGGGGGUGCGUAAGUUGCUCGAUCCUAAGCAUUCUGGUAUCGUAAGUGAUUCGUGGGUUCGAAGCCCACUCCGUGCA